AACGAACGCUGGCGGCAUGCCUAACACAUGCAAGUCGAGCGCGCCCUUCGGGGUGAGCGGCGGACGGGUGAGUAACGCGUGGGAACGUGCCCUUCUCUGCGGAAUAGCCUCGGGAAACUGAGAGUAAUACCGCAUACGCCCUUUGGGGGAAAGAUUUAUCGGAGAAGGAUCGGCCCGCGUUGGAUUAGGUAGUUGGUGGGGUAAUGGCCCACCAAGCCGACGAUCCAUAGCUGGUUUGAGAGGAUGAUCAGCCACACUGGGACUGAGACACGGCCCAGACUCCUACGGGAGGCAGCAGUGGGGAAUCUUAGACAAUGGGGGCAACCCUGAUCUAGCCAUGCCGCGUGAGUGAUGAAGGCCUUAGGGUUGUAAAGCUCUUUCAGCUGGGAAGAUAAUGACGGUACCAGCAGAAGAAGCCCCGGCUAACUCCGUG
rnacentral:rRNA from 1 species